rnacentral:rRNA from 1 species
CUCAAAUUUGAAAUCUGGCCCCCAGGGCCCGAGUUGUAAUUUGCAGAGGAUGCUUUUGGCGCGGUGCCUUCCGAGUUCCCUGGAACGGGACGCCAUAGAGGGUGAGAGCCCCGUCUGGUCGGACGCCUAGCCUGUGUAAAGCUCCUUCGACGAGUCGAGUAGUUUGGGAAUGCUGCUCUAAAUGGGAGGUAUAUGUCUUCUAAAGCUAAAUACCGGCCAGAGACCGAUAGCGCACAAGUAGAGUGAUCGAAAGAUGAAAAGCACUUUGAAAAGAGGGUUAAAUAGUACGUGAAAUUGUUGAAAGGGAAGCGCUUGUGACCAGACUUGGGCCCGGUGGAUCAUCCAGCGUUCUCGCUGGUGCACUCCGCCGGGUUCAGGCCAGCAUCAGUUCGCCGCGGGGGAAAAAGGCUUCGGGAACGUGGCUCCUACGGGAGUGUUAUAGCCCGUUGCAUAAUACCCUGGGGCGGACUGAGGUUCGCGCUCCGCAAGGAUGCUGGCGUAAUGGUCAUCAGCGACCCGUCUUGA